rnacentral:rRNA from 1 species
GAUGAACGCUAGCGGGAGGCUUAACACAUGCAAGUCGAGGGGCAGCACGGAGUAGCAAUAUUCUGGUGGCGACCGGCGCACGGGUGAGUAACGCGUAUGCAACCUACCCUGUACAGGGGGAUAGCCCGGAGAAAUUCGGAUUAAUACCCCAUAAAGAUAUUUUGAGGCAUCUUAGAAUAUUUAAAGCUUCGGCGGUACGGGAUGGGCAUGCGUAACAUUAGCUAGUUGGUAGGGUAAUGGCCUACCAAGGCAACGAUGUUUAGGGGUCCUGAGAGGGUGAUCCCCCACACUGGUACUGAGACACGGACCAGACUCCUACGGGAGGCUG